rnacentral:rRNA from 1 species
GAUGAACGCUGGCGGCGUGCCUAAUACAUGCAAGUCGAGCGAACGGACGAGAAGCUUGCUUCUCUGAUGUUAGCGGCGGACGGGUGAGUAACACGUGGAUAACCUACCUAUAAGACUGGGAUAACUUCGGGAAACCGGAGCUAAUACCGGAUAAUAUUUUGAACCGCAUGGUUCAAAAGUGAAAGACGGUCUUGCUGUCACUUAUAGAUGGAUCCGCGCUGCAUUAGCUAGUUGGUAAGGUAACGGCUUACCAAGGCAACGAUGCAUAGCCGACCUGAGAGGGUGAUCGGCCACACUGGAACUGAGACACGGUCCAGACUCCUACGGGAGGCAGCAGUAGGGAAUCUUCCGCAAUGGGCGAAAGCCUGACGGAGCAACGCCGCGUGAGUGAUGAAGGCCUUCGGAUCGUAAAACUCUGUUAUUAGGGAAGAACAUAUGUGUAAGUAACUGUGCACAUCUUGACGGUACCUAAUCAGAAAGCCACGGCUAACUACGUGCCAGCAGCCGCGGUAAUACGUAGGUGGCAAGCGUUAUCCGGAAUUAUUGGGCGUAAAGCGCGCGUAGGCGGUUUUUUAAGUCUGAUGUGAAAGCCCACGGCUCAACCGUGGAGGGUCAUUGGAAACUGGAAAACUUGAGUGCAGAAGAGGAAAGUGGAAUUCCAUGUGUAGCGGUGAAAUGCGCAGAGAUAUGGAGGAACACCAGUGGCGAAGGCGACUUUCUGGUCUGUAACUGACGCUGAUGUGCGAAAGCGUGGGGAUCAAACAGGAUUAGAUACCCUGGUAGUCCACGCCGUAAACGAUGAGUGCUAAGUGUUAGGGGGUUUCCGCCCCUUAGUGCUGCAGCUAACGCAUUAAGCACUCCGCCUGGGGAGUACGACCGCAAGGUUGAAACUCAAAGGAAUUGACGGGGACCCGCACAAGCGGUGGAGCAUGUGGUUUAAUUCGAAGCAACGCGAAGAACCUUACCAAAUCUUGACAUCCUUUGACAACUCUAGAGAUAGAGCCUUCCCCUUCGGGGGACAAAGUGACAGGUGGUGCAUGGUUGUCGUCAGCUCGUGUCGUGAGAUGUUGGGUUAAGUCCCGCAACGAGCGCAACCCUUAAGCUUAGUUGCCAUCAUUGAGUUGGGCACUCUAAGUUGACUGCCGGUGACAAACCGGAGGAAGGUGGGGAUGACGUCAAAUCAUCAUGCCCCUUAUGAUUUGGGCUACACACGUGCUACAAUGGACAAUACAAAGGGCAGCGAAACCGCGAGGUCAAGCAAAUCCCAUAAAGUUGUUCUCAGUUCGGAUUGUAGUCUGCAACUCGACUACAUGAAGCUGGAAUCGCUAGUAAUCGUAGAUCAGCAUGCUACGGUGAAUACGUUCCCGGGUCU